rnacentral:rRNA from 1 species
GUCGCAUGCUUCCGGGCGCCAUGGCGGCCGCGGGAAUUCGAUUAGAGUUUGAUCCUGGCUCAGAGCGAACGUUAGCGGCAGGCCUAACACAUGCAAGUCGCACGAGAAUUGGGCUUCGGCCCAUAGUAAAGUGGCGGACGGGUGCGUAACACGUGGAUAAUCUGCCCUUCGGCGGGGGACAACAGUCCGAAAGGAUUGCUAAUACCGCAUACGUCGGCGAGCUCUUCGGAGCACGUCGGGAAAGACGGCCUCUUCAUGAAAGCUGUCACCGGAGGAUGAGUCCGCGGCCCAUCAGCUAGUUGGCGGGGUAAUGGCCCACCAAGGCAUAGACGGGUAGCUGGUCUGAGAGGAUGAUCAGCCACACUGGAACUGAGACACGGUCCAGACUCCUACGGGAGGCAGCAGUGGGGAAUAUUGGGCAAUGGGCGCAAGCCUGACCCAGCCAUGCCGCGUGAGUGAUGAAGGCCUUCGGGUCGUAAAGCUCUGUGGGGAGGGAAGAAAAACCGCCUGGCUAAUAUCCAGGCGGCCUGACGGUACCUCCUUAGCAAGCUCCGGCUAACUCCGUGCCAGCAGCCGCGGUAAUACGAAUCACUAGUGAAUUCGCGGCCGCCUGCAGGUCGACCAUAUGGGAGAGC